GCCGGUGUGGCGGAAUUGGCAGACGCGCGCGACUCAAAAUCGCGUUCCCAAAAGGAGUGGGGGUUCGAGUCCCUUCACCGGCA
rnacentral:tRNA from 1 species